rnacentral:rRNA from 1 species
ACUCAAAUGAAUAGACGGGGGCCCGCACAAGCAGCGGAGCGUGUGGUUUAAUUCGAUGCAACGCGCAGAACCUUACCUGGGCUUGACAUGCCGGAAGUAGGACCCGGAAACGGGAACGACUCGUCAAGGCGAGAACCGGCACAGAUGCUGCAUGGCUGUCGUCAGCUCGUGCCGUGAGGUGUUGGGUUAAGUCCCGCAACGAGCGCAACCCUCGUCGCCAGUUACUUAUCUGGCGAGACCGCCGGGAACAACCCGGAGGAAGGUGGGGAUGACGUCAAGUCAGCACGGCUCUUACGUCCAGGGCUACACACACGCUACAAUGGUCGGGACAACGGGCAGCGAAGGGGCGACCCGGAGCGAAUCCCAGCAAACCCGGCCUCAGUGAGGAUCGGAGGCUGCAACUCGCCUCCGUGAAUGCGGAGUUGCUAGUAACCGCGGGUCAGCACACCGCGGUGAAUACGUUCCCGGGCCUUGUACACACCCCCGU